rnacentral:tRNA from 1 species
CAGAGGAUAGUUUAAUGUAGAAUAUCAGCUUUGGGAGCUGAAGGUGAAGGUUUGAGUCCUUCUUCUCUGA